UGGAAUAAUAUGUAAGCAGCAGGACACUUCAAACCCAACUCACCUUUGAAGAUGAUAGUGCCAGCCAUAAAGAUAUUUGAUGCUAGCCACACCUUUUCUGGGCAGGUCAGAAAGUGCUUUCACAGAUGGGUCACAUGAGUUUGGACUGGCCUGGAGAGCGUUGCUUAGACAAGUUCCUAAAUGUGACACUUCCCACUGAAAGACAAUAUGGCAGCAGCAAGACCUGUUCUAAUGAGACAAAGCAUCAGUCUUCCAUCACACAAGUCUGAGCUGAAGCUGGUUCUUCUGGGGGAAAGUCAGAGUCUGAAGGCUCCAGUGGGAAACCUCCUUUUAGGAAAAACACAGUUCAGUCAACAUUAUAAAUGUGUCAAAGGCAGUGGAAGACUCAAGGACAGACCAGUGACUGUGGUCUACACUCCAGACCAGCUUCUUUCCACUGUUUCCAAUGAUGGACGGAAGCGGUUUAUACAAGAGA
ensembl:lncRNA